GAAAAGGGACCCGACAUCACAUGGCGAGUUUUUUUGAUGUAGGUAUAAUAAAGAAGAAAGGAGAAGAAGGCACUUACAUGCAUGGAUGGCAGAAAGAUCAAGAGUUUGUUGAUGUACAGAUGCCAAAUCGAAGCGUCUACUGUGGUUAUUGUUGGCCUUCAGCCUGUUGUUGUCUUGAUAAAAUAGCAACCAGCCAACCACAGAGUUGAGAUCAAUUACUGAAGGCUAAAGAAUUGCAAGCCAACAAGUUCAGCAUAGUUCAAACUUGUAAAGUUCAGUAAUCAAACCUGCAAGUCCAUGUGUCAGAAAUAUAUAUGGCAUGGAGUUUUGAAUAUAUAGCAGGAAGAUGAUUCUGCUAAGAACAACACAUUAAUUACUAUAUUUGUUAUGUCGGUUUAAAAUACCGAAGAUUGUCCA